UACGUAGGGUGCGAGCGUUAAUCGGAAUUACUGGGCGUAAAGCGUGCGCAGGCGGUUCGUUGUGUCGGCGGUGAAAGCCCCGGGCUUAACCUGGGAAGUGCUUUUGAUACUGCUUAGCUUGAGUGUGGGAGAGGAUAGUAGAAUUCCUGGUGUAGUGGUGAAAUACGUAGAUAUCAGGAGGAAUACCGGUGGCGAAGGCGGCUAUCUGGCCCAACACUGACACUCAGACCCGAAAGCGUGGGGAUCAAACAGG
rnacentral:rRNA from 1 species